ACAAUGCCCAUUACCUGUACCAAAUUGCAUCACAGGCUAAUUAUCAUCAAAAAUAAUAUUUUAAUUAUAUGUGUACUCCAUUAAUUUUUAACCGUUUUUCUUAUCCGGAUUUAGAAAAUUAGAAUUAAUUAUACGAAACAUGAUUAACAAUUACUUCCGUACAAAAAAUCAUUUCCGAAAACUUUUUUGUUCCGAUUUCAGCUGUCACCUAUUUUCGUGAGUAAGCAAUAAGAAUAAAAAUCUUGUUUGCCAAGUAAGUUUUAGCAAGCAAACAUGAUUUUAUUAUCAAUAUUAUUAUUAAUAAUCAUGAUUUUCAUAAUAAUGAAACUACCUACUUCAAACGAUUUAAAAAAAAACUGUUUUAUUUUAUCUCACCAUUAAUUACAUUAGAGCGUUUCGGAACACCGAAAUAAAAAACUAUCAAGUGUCAUUGUCAAUUUGAGGUUAGGGCGAUUUGUUGAGUUUCGUCCACAGGUUUCGUCUUUCGUUGAUGUCUGUAUCGAUCGAUCUAUGUUUUAGUGGUAGUAUUCAAUAAAUUCAUUCCUCGAACGAUAUUAUUGACUAUUGACAGUCUUGAGAUAGUGACUCUUGUGUUGUGGUGCAUCGGGAUAGUGGUUUUACCGUGCGAGAUAGUAACUCUGUUGGUAGAUGCCGGCCGGCGUUUAUGCUACCUGCCUGCCUCAAUAAAAAUGAAUCGAACAGGCAGUUUGAGUCCAGAGAGUAAUCACCGACGAUGUAUCAACUGUCCAUUGGCAGUACCAAGGAACACAUUGAUACACACAGUGGAAAGUGUGCACAACAAUAUAUUAGAAGUUUUGAACUCAUGGGUGAUACCUACCUACUUUGGUUAGUUUUUUUAUUACUCAUUCAUAAACUUAUUCAUGAUCUUGAUGUAGGUAUGUAUAUUUUGUAGUUUUUAUUAAUGAUACCACUUAUAGGUAUAUAAAUUCUGUCUUACAAUAUUUUUGAUGGCCUUAAUUGUUGCCAAUUCCGCCAUUCCGCAAAAAAUUCCAUUGCUGUAGAUGAUGUCCUGGUUUCAAUUUCCAUUUUUGUUGUACAAUUUAAUACAGAUUAACAAAUAUUGCUUGUUUCAGGUAACCGGAACAUAUAAUAUGCCACAAUUGCUACAAACUUACUGUUGCAAGAAGCAACAAUUGGCAGCCCUGAAGUUGGCCAUCAGAGCGUUUGUUUUGGCUGUGGUGGUGUGCAUUAUUAUGCACUAAAAGAAAAACAUAAUUAUUAAAUAAGACCUGAAUCUCCACAGUGAAAUGUCUUUGCAUAGACAGCGCUCAUCUUGUAUCCAGACUUGAGAGGUGUGCUGGAGAACAGCUACUAGAACAGUCGACAGACAGCAGCAGCAUGAUCCUCAAAGGCCAAUAAGAGAAGAAGAACUUCAAAGAACAGACAAGUCACCGUCAAGAAUUACCUCUUCUAUAUCCGAGUAGCGAGCACAGCCAAUCACUAUUUGCACAUAAACUGUACUGGCUCUCUAUAUACAAGUUAAAAAGAUUACAAUCAUCACAUAACAUACUUUAAAAAAUAAAUGUUAUCUGAUCAAUGAUUAUA